UACGGGGGGUGCGAGCGUUGUCCGGAAUCACUGGGCGUAAAGGGCGCGUAGGUGGCGUGAUAAGGGUGUGGUGAAAGCCCGGGGCUCAACCCCGGGUCUGCCAUGCCGACUGUCAGGCUAGAGUACUGUAGGGGCAGGCGGAAUUCCGGGUGUAGCGGUGGAAUGCGUAGAGAUCCGGAAGAACACCGGUGGCGAAGGCGGCCCGCUGGGCAGUGACUGACGCUGAGGCGCGACAGCGUGGGGAGCAAACAGG
rnacentral:rRNA from 1 species